CAAAUUGAUUUUUGAGUGUCCGAUCCAUAUCAAACAGCCCGCGUUAGGUCUGGCCAAACCAGUAUACGUGAAUCAAUCCGGGGCGUCUGUUCCGCGAUCAGCGAUCACACAACUUUCUCCCCAACCCUCUAAUCUCUAUCGUUCAUCUAGAUCCAACGGUAUCCACACCAUCUUCUUCCUACAGCUGACCGAGCGGCGGCGGGCAACCCCACGAUGGCCCCACCCCGGUGAGCCGGCAGACCGACGCCUUCCCUACUCUGAUAUGAACCCGACGACAGGCAAUAGAGAGCGAAUUAUAUGGCGAAGACUACAGAGCGGAUCCUUACCGGGGAUCAAUGACAUGGGCGAGCGGACUGGGACGCGGCACCACGGCGGCAUCGGGUCGAAGGCGAGAAAUUGUGUGAGCACUGGUGGUCCCUACUUGGUAAUAAAGCUACAGCCACCCUCGCCGUGCCACAGGUAAGCUGUUUGACCCACAUGCCAAAGUAUUGACGAUAGUAGAAUGGUGAAUCGGUGAUGGCGGAUUAUCAUGCAUUCCGUCACCAGUGGGGUCUCCGUCGAUGCACC
rnacentral:lncRNA from 7 species